UGUGCACCUACUGGGUGCCGUUAGCUACCUUCCUGCCUCGGUCCUCGGCGCUCUCUCCCGCCUGUAUCCCUGAUACAGCCGAACGUGUUAAAGAGGAAGAGCAGUCCGAAUCAAAACUGGGGGUGAACUCAGGCCCUUAUGCUUGCCAGGCAAGUGCUGUCUUCCUGGGUUUGUUUGAAAUAGGGUCUUGCUAUGUUGCCCAGACUAUCCUUGAACUCUGGGGCUCAAAGUUCUCCCAAAUUGGGCCGAGAUCAGAUGAUACGUCCUCCACACACAGGACCUGGAUCGGUAGGUCGCAGAGGAGUGGGUCUUGCACUACCAUGGCGAGACCCUCCUGGAACACGUCCACAGCCUCGGAAUGUGGCAGCGUCUCCUCUUCAUCCUCAUCGUCCUUCAGAGCCUCCG